CUUCGUGCAAACAUUUCAGUCGCAAUCAAGGACUGCAGCUUGCAACUCUUGUUUAAAGUGUGAUAGAACAGAGUCUCUAUAUAAAAUUAAAAAUUUAUCAUCAUGGAAAAGGCACAAAUGUUCGCUUUGAUGCUGAUGAUGGUCGUCCUCUUCUUGGCAGCAUUGACGCCAGCUGAAGGCCUAGCUCCGCCGAUUCCCCCUCAGUGCAUUCUGUGCCGAAGCGGAUAGGAAUGGAUUGGAUUUCGUCGCACGCAUGGAUUAUAAAACGGAAAAUAAUGAUAUUCUAUGAAUUACGUGUUCUCUUCAGAAUUCCUUUAUGUAAUGAAAAAAAGGUUGAAUAAACAAAAGAAUUGAAAAAAUUA